CACAGGCCGCUUUGUGGUUGAUAUCUACGGUUUUUCUUGCUCCGCAGUGUGCCUGACAGGGUUCUACUAUAAAGGAAACCUGGUUCUCACCUAUAUAGUGUUAGGUCAUUGGGUCUCCCUAAAAAAUAGGCGCCAUGAUCACUACAUAGCUAUCCACUAAGAACCCAGUCAUCCACCGUUUAUCUACCCUGUGCAAUUUCACUAGGAGUUGGUGUCUUCCAUCCUACGAGGCCAGAGUCAUUCAUCAUUACCCAAUUAGGAUAGGGUGUGGCCCUAUCGAUUGAAUAUAUCUACAGUUGGAUGUUCUCAUGGUCACACACCUCUGAUCCAAAACUUGUGUAUUUGGGCACUGAUACGAAGCUGUACUUUUGUUCCUCUAACAUUAUACUAAUGUAUUAAUAUUGUACUGAGAAAAAGCUAGUAAUCAUAAAGUAAUGCACACCUAUUAAGGCAUGCCUAUUGUGCAGUAAUAAACUUACAUAUAUUUUCUAUGAUAUUAUGUGGUGGUGUGAAUUACUUUGAUUACUAGCUUUUUCUUCUUACACUUUGUUGCAAUUUUGGUAAUCAGUUUUUGCACCCCCAGUACGUAAUUUGCUGUGCCCAUCUUUUCUUGUGUUGUUUUAAUAUUGUACUAACAUAACACUCUUAUCAAGUAUUUUAUCUUGCUAUCUACUUGACAUACAGCUGACUCUGACUGACACCGACCCUCUAUCUUUUUGUCUAUUUAUUUCUGUGGGCGCCUAUUUCAACUCCUUUAUAUCUUUUUCCUCUUUUUUUUUUUUUUUUCAUCUUAGAUAAGGUAUCAAUAUUUUAUGGUAUCUCAUGGUACACUUUGUUCAUCUUCUUGAAUGUGGUUUCCUCUUAUCCCUGAUGAGCCCCCAGAAUGUAGGCGCAUUGGAAAGAGAGGUUUUGCCACUAAAUAGUGUAUUGUAUCACAUUUUUGCUUUGUAUCCUUUUCCCCAUUCCACACUUAGUAUUUAGGAGAUUAUUUGUGUCUAGGGAUUUUAGGUUAGGGCAUCACCUGUAUCCUUCAUCCCCAUCCCUUCCAAGUUAUGUUAUUAAUGUGUACCCCAUCUUUUGUCUAUUAUCAUCUCAGUAAAAGUUAAGUUUUAUGUUUUCCUUAUUGGUGUUUUUUCUAGUUGGUUAUAUUAUACUUUAUAUGUUCACCUAGGGCUGUUUAUUAUAUAGAGUCCUGGUUACCCCUAAAAUUUGCCAGAAGUGGGUUUAUAAAACUACAACUUCCAGCAUGCCUGUACAGUCAACUGCUGUCCAGCCAUGCGGGGAGUUGUUGUUUUGCAUCAGCCGGAGGCUCCAUAUAGGAAACACUGCCGUACGAGCAGUUUUUUAAUUUUAUGUUGGGAGGUAACAAUGUAAGGGUGUAUAUGUAGGGAUUUUUUUCUUUAUUUCAUGUAAGUGAAGUGUAGGUGUUUAUACUCUACGUACACACGGUUUGCCCUUUGGCUGGGAGUUGUAGUUAUGGAACAGCUAGUGGCACAUGUUUUGAUAACUACCCUUGCCCAGCAAAAGUGAGGUGGCACUGGUGCCACCUCACGAUCGCAGGGAUUGGUCGGCUGGGACAGUUUGACUGUCCAAGCAUGCUGUGAGUUGUAGUUUUGCUUCAUGCUUUAGCUGGAGGCACACCACUACAACUCCUAGCAUGCUCUUCAUGCAACAGCAGAUGUCUCACAGGCCUUACCUCCUGCUGCCAGAAGGACCAAAUGCCCCACCACCCAAGGUGAAUAGGGGUCCCCGCCACAGUCCCGAUCUCCCCCCCUCCGUGCACUAACCAGCACCCACUCACUACGUCCAGACUAAGGGCGGAGUGGGUGCAGUCAGUGCCACCCUGCAGCAGGACCUGUGAUUGGUCUGCCGGUCCUGGGUGACCAAUCACGGAGAUCAUGGUGCUGUUCAAUCACCCUUUUUUUCCGGGUCACCAGUGACCUGAUUGGCCCGAAAAAGCUUUGAUUCUCUAGUCAUGAGGUCUCAGGAGCCCCCUAGGCAAUAUGCCAGGGUGCUGGUGUUAAAUAAUGUAUGGUGCUGUGCGCUAAGAUGCUGUUAGCAGCGCCUUACAUUUACAACACAUGAAAUAAAAAGGAUGGAAAAGCGCUCCACUGUGAAGGACAAUAGACAAAAGAAGGUGAGCCCCUGAUAAUAGAGAGACUCACCAGAUAAUGUUGUGCUAUAGAGGCACAACGCUCUAGCAGGCAUGUAAUCCUUUCGGAUGGUUGGGAUGGAGACUCCACCUGGAUAUCCACCUAGGACUGCAGCUUA